rnacentral:pre_miRNA from 1 species
GNCAACGUUUGACUGUCCGUUUUAUAUGAAAUUUUUUUAUAAUUAGUAUUUUCAUUGUUGUUAGAUGAUAAAACAUGAUUAAUACUUUAUGCGUGACUUAUCUUUUAAUUUUUUUUAUAAUUUUUUUAAAUAAGACAAACGGUUAAACGUUGGACACGGAAACCAGGGUU